AGUUGACACAUCCCGUCCCAG
rnacentral:misc_RNA from 1 species